CGUCUGGAAUUAAAUAGUCGUACGCAUCAAAACGAAAAUCUAUUGAAAUUUCCAACUAUCAACUAUCAAGAUGAAUCGUUGUACGAUGCUUUUUUUCGCAUUGGUGGCAGUUUCGUCAAUUAACUUUGUGAGUUCCGAGAUCACUUGCAACGAUCAGGGAUAUUGUGCCGGUAACGGUUCUCCACAUGAGGAUGUUCGUUGUGGCAGUGUAUUGUCAUUCAUGCACAUACCGGGACUGCUGUCAUGUAAGAUUCACUGAUGUUAAUACACGGUGCGAUCUCGGUGGAUGGAGAUCGGACGAGUACAAGGCCAGAUGGGACGAAUAGAAGAAGCCAAUCAAUCGAUAUGAAAUUUGAUGGAAUAGCGAUAAGGAUCAAUAGAAAUAUGGGAAAUAAAG